rnacentral:rRNA from 1 species
CCUACGGGAGGCAGCAGUGGGGAAUAUUGGGCAAUGGGCGCAAGCCUGACCCAGCAACGCCGCGUGAAGGAAGAAUGCUUUCGGGUUGUAAACUUCUUUUAUCAGGGACGUAGAAAGUGACGGUACCUGAUGAAUAAGCCACGGCUAACUACGUGCCAGCAGCCGCGGUAAUACGUAGGUGGCAAGCGUUGUCCGGAUUUACUGGGUGUAAAGGUCGUGUAGCCGGGAAGGCAAGUCAGAUGUGAAAUCUGGAGGCUCAACCUCCAAAUUGCAUUUGAAACUGGUUGUCUUGAGUACUGGAGAGGCAGACGGAAUUCCUUGUGUAGCGGUGAAAUGCGUAGAUAUAAGGAGGAACACCAGUGGCGAAGGCGGUCUGCUGGACAGCAACUGACGGUGAGGCGCGAAAGCGUGGGGAGCAAACAGGAUUAGAUACCCGAGUAGUC